rnacentral:rRNA from 1 species
UACAGAGGGUGCGAGCGUUAAUCGGAAUUACUGGGCGUAAAGCGUGCGUAGACGGUCAAGUAAGUCGGGUGUGAAAGCCCCGGGCUCAACCUGGGAAUUGCAUUCGAGACUGCGUGGCUAGGGUGCGGAAGAGGGAAGCGGAAUUUCCGGUGUAGCGGUGAAAUGCGUAGAUAUCGGAAGGAACACCAGUGGCGAAAGCGGCUUCCUGGUCCAGCACCGACGUCAGGCACGAAAGCGUGGGGAUCAAACAGG